rnacentral:rRNA from 1 species
CCAAUAGCGUAUAUUAAAGUUGUUGCAGUUAAAAAGCUCGUAGUUGAAUUUCGGGGUUAGCAGGUCGGUCGUGCCUUUGGUAUGAACUGGUCUCGCUGAUCCCUCCCUCUUGACGAACUGUGAUGCCAUUAAUUUGGUGUCGCAGGGAAUCAGGACUGUUACUUUGAAAAAAUUAGAGUGUUUAAAGCAGGCUUUCGCUUGAAUACAUUAGCAUGGAAUAAUGAAAUAUGACGUUUGAUCCUAUUUUGUUGGUUUCUAGGAUUGACGUAAUGAUUAAUAGGGAUAGUUGGGGGCAUUAGUAUUCAAUUGUCAGAGGUGAAAUUCUUGGAUUUAUUGAAGACUAACUACUGCGAAAGCAUUUGCCAAGGAUGUUUUCAUUAAUCGAGAACGAAAGUUAGGGGAUCGAAGACGAUCAGAUACCGUCGUAGUCUUAACCAUAAACUAUGCCGACUAGGGAUCGGAUGAUGUUAAUUUUUUAAUGACUCAUUCGGCGCCUUACG